CAGGACGAUGGGCGCACAGAGAUAGAACUGUUCGCUCAGGCUCAGUUCACUUUAGCACUUACAGGGAGGUGAGAUCAUAUGAGCUUAUGACCCAAAUAAUUAUCUCUGUUAAUUUUUUUUCUCACAGGAUACCAAAAAUAACAGAACAGUCACAUAAAGACAAAGGAUGGGGCCAUUUUGAACACCCAGGAAGACUCCCAUGUGCCUAAAGUGCAGAAAGUUUCUGUUGUCAGUUAUGGUUCGGAAAGCAGGAGCGAUGACAUUGUUCUCAGUAAAAAGGAUGUAGAAGACACAAUGUUCUUCCCGGGGGAAGAUACGAAUUUUGUAUGAGUCGAGUUUGAAAAAAGACCACAAGUAUCUUUGUAAGAUCACGUGCUUAGUCCUGCACUGGCCAAGCAGGAGCGAGCUCAAGCCUGAUAAACAGAUUCAAAACUUUACUGUGGGAAAAGGAAUUUUCUGGGGUCUGGGGAAUAUCUGUUUGAAAUUGUUAUAUUUCCAUAUGCUUGAUUUAUUUCUGCCCUUUUAUGUAUCGGCAUGCUUGCAGUGAUGAAAUAUGUUGUCAUUACACAGUAUUCUGCUUAGAAAAAAGCAUAUUUUGAAUUUCUCCCAUGUGGACUGUUUUAUGUACUGGUAUGUUCCUUUGAAAGCUGUGUCUAUUUCAGUUAUUGUUCUGAAUGGCACACUUAUAGAAAAAUGAACCAAAGAAAACAAAACUAUUUUAAAGGAUUAAUCAUGGAAACAUAUGAUCAAUAAAGAAUCAUUUGCUGUUACUCUUGAAUCUGGACGAUAUAUAUUGCUGUGCGCUUCAAUGUGGGAAUAAACAGAGUAUAUCCGG